GGGGAACGCAUCAACGCAUGGUCCUCCCAUCUCAGGUUCUCUCUCUCUCUCUCUCUCUCUCUCUCUCUCUCUGUUUUUGGCUCUCAUCAGUGGUAGAAGCUCAUCACGUAAAAAACCGUUCGCUGGUGACUUUCACCGUAUCGAUUCAAGACUUCGAAAUAUCCAGCAGCUGCAUUACUCCGUCUUACGUUAAAACCUUCUGCCUCUCAAAGGCCAGAUUUUCCCCCCUCCGGCAGAAACUAUACGACGCUCGGAUGCUUUUCCACCAAGAUUCAUCACAAUCACAAACACAGCAACAUCAUGAGAACCGAAUACCAGGAUGGAUCCCACACUUUCGUUCUCGGAGACUUUACUACUAGGAUGGAUGCGGCACCAGCAGUUUGGUUCCUGGCGGCUAGGUUUAGUUUCUCGCUCGUUUUGUAACUUUUGUUGGCUUUGCAUUCUGUGGAACUCUCGCGCUAUAAACAGCACCGUCGUGCUCCUUCUGUCAUCAUCGGUCAUCUGAGGAAGUAAAAUCUCCUCUCAGAAUUGCUUCCUUCACCUUGGUGCUCAUUUUGGUUGGUAGAAUUUUGUGAAAAUCUUCCAACUUUUAGAGAAGAAGGGGUUAAUGUGACUGGUAGUUGGGCCAAAUGUUUGUUGAAAAGAGAAAAUAGUAACCAAAGAAUGGCGGUUAGGAGGGUCUAGUAGUUGAAGAAUGGUACCAGCUAUGAAUGGUGAUUUUAGAAAUCA